rnacentral:rRNA from 1 species
UGGGGAAUAUUGGACAAUGGGCGCAAGCCUGAUCCAGCCAUGCCGCGUGAGUGAUGAAGGCCUUAGGGUCGUAAAGCUCUUUCGCCGGUGAAGAUAAUGACGGUAACCGGAGAAGAAGCCCCGGCUAACUUCGUGCCAGCAGCCGCGGUAAUACGAAGGGGGCUAGCGUUGCUCGGAAUCACUGGGCGUAAAGCGCACGUAGGCGGAUCGUUAAGUCAGGGGUGAAAUCCUGGAGCUCAACUCCAGAACUGCCCUUGAUACUGGCGAUCUCGAGUUCGAGAGAGGUUGGUGGAACUCCGAGUGUAGAGGUGAAAUUCGUAGAUAUUCGGAAGAACACCAGUGGCGAAGGCGGCCAACUGGCUCGAUACUGACGCUGAGGUGCGAAAGCGUGGGGAGCAAAACAGGAUUAGAUACCCUGGUAGUCCACGCCGUAAACGAUGGAUGCUAGCCGUUGGGGGGUUUACCUCUCAGUGGCGCAGCUAACGCCUUAAGCAUCCCGCCUGGGGAGUACGGUCGCAAGAUUAAAACUUAAAUGAAUUGACGGGGUCAUAGCUGUUUCCU